GACGAACGCUGGCGGCGUGCUUAACACAUGCCAGUCGAACGGUGAAGCUCCAGCUUGCUGGAGUGGAUCAGUGGCGAACGGGUGAGUAACACGUGAGCAACCUGCCCCUGACUCUGGAAUAAGCGCUGGAAACGGCGUCUAAUACUGGAUACGAGAAGGGUCCGCAUGGGCACUUUCUGGAAAGUUUUUCGGUUGGGGAUGGGCUCGCGGCCUAUCAGCUUGUUGGUGAGGUAAUGGCUCACCAAGGCGACGACGGGUAGCCGGCCUGAGAGGGCGACCGGCCACACUGGGACUGAGACACGGCCCAGACUCCUACGGGAGGCAGCAGUGGGGAAUAUUGCACAAUGGGCGAAAGCCUGAUGCAGCAACGCCGCGUGAGGGAUGACGGCCUUCGGGUUGUAAACCUCUUUCAGCAGGGAAGAAGCGAAAGUGACGGUACCUGCAGAAGAAGCACCGGCUAACUACGUG
rnacentral:rRNA from 1 species